CUGCUCGUUUCUCUUCAGAUUGUAUAAUUCUUUCGCCUUUUACUAAAGAUUUCCGUGGAGAGGAACAUUAAGAGUUUCAAAUUAUUUUUUGGUACUCUGCGUCAUGCAACAA